UGGCCUUGCGCCGGCGAUGGUUCAUUCAAAUUUCUUCCCUAUCAACUUUCGAUGUUUGGGUAUUGGCCAAACAUGGUCGCAACGGGUAACGGAGGGUUAGGGCUCGACCCCGGAGAAGGAGCCUGAGAAACGGCUACUACAUCCAAGGAAGGCAGCAGGCGCGCAAAUUACCCAAUCCCGAUUCGGGGAGGUAGUGACAAUAAAUACUGAUACAGGGCUCUUUUGGGUCUUGUAAUUGGAAUGAGUACAAUUUAAAUCCCUUAACGAGGAACAAUUGGAGGGCAAGUCUGGUGCCAGCAGCCGCGGUAAUUCCAGCUCCAAUAGCGUAUAUUAAAGUUGUUGUGGUUAAAAAGCUCGUAGUUGAACCUUGGGCCUGGCUGGCCGGUCCGCCUCACCGCGUGCACUGUGCCGGCCGGGCCUUUCCCUCUGUGGAACCUCAUGCCCUUCACUGGGUGUGGCGGGGAAACAGGACUUUUACUUUGAAAAAAUUAGAGUGCUCCAGGCAGGCCUAUGCUCGAAUACAUUAGCAUGGAAUAAUAAAAUAGGACGCGUGGUUCUAUUUUGUUGGUUUCUAGGACCGCCGUAAUGAUUAAUAGGGACAGUCGGGGGCAUCAGUAUUCAAUUGUCAGAGGUGAAAUUCUUGGAUUUAUUGAAGACUAACUACUGCGAAAGCAUUUGCCAAGGAUGUUUUCAUUAAUCAGGAACGAAAGUUAGGGGAUCGAAGACGAUCAGAUACCGUCGUAGUCUUAACCAUAAACUAUGCCGACUAGGGAUCGGACGAUGUUAUUUUUUGACGCGUUCGGCACCUUACGAGAAAUCAAAGUGCUUGGGCUCCAGGGGGAGUAUGGUC
rnacentral:rRNA from 1 species